rnacentral:rRNA from 1 species
AUUGAACGCUGGCGGCAUGCUUUACACAUGCAAGUCGAACGGGGUGAAGGGGCAACUCUUCAUUCAGUGGCGAACGGGUGAGUAAUGCAUCGGAACGUACCUCGUAGUGGGGGAUAACUCGGCGAAAGCCGUGCUAAUACCGCAUAUGCUCUACGGAGGAAAGCAGGGGACCUGAGAGGGCCUUGUGCUAUGGGAGCGGCCGAUGUCCGAUUAGCUAGUUGGGGGGUAAUGGCCUACCAAGGCGACGAUCGGUAGCUGGUCUGAGAGGAUGAUCAGCCACACUGGGACUGAGACACGGCCCAGACUCCUACGGGAGGCAGCAGUGGGGAAUAUUGGACAAUGGGGGAAACCCUGAUCCAGCAAUGCCGCGUGAGUGAUGAAGGCCUUCGG